ensembl:lncRNA
GUGGAAGUCUAUGGGGUUCCAGUGCCUGUUACUAAGAGGGCAUUUCUGAGAUUGAAGUUUAACAUCAACGAUAUCUGCCAAUGUCCAGCCUUCAGUGCGUCAGAUCUGUUGGACUACAGAACCAGAGGUGGAAAAUGAAACUUAAAAAACGGUGGCAGAAAUAUAUCUGAAACAACAAGAAGAAGAAGCGGAAGAAGAAGAAGAAGUGUUCAAAGAACAAAAAGAAAGAAAAAACAUCAAAUGUGUGAGGUUUGGGUUUAGCACUUGAAAAUACUAGCUAACUGAUGUUAUAGGUUUAUUAAUUAGAAGUACUGGAAGUUUUUUAGUUUGUUUGUUUGGGAAAUGUAUCCAUGAAAAAUUAUUAGCACAGGGU